GUCACCAUCCAUCAGUGUGUGAGCAGCAGAAAACAGAAAUUGUCUGUAAUCAAGCGAGAAGGCGGUGGUCCAAGUCUGAAUUUACCCCAGGGGAUCUUCGGAAAGGGCAGAAUGAAGGCAAAGGAUCUCACCAGUGGGAAAAUGGGAGACUGAUGAGCCAUCUGAGCCUUCCUUGCCCAGUGCUCCGAAGGAAGAAAGACAUUGUUCAGCAAAUCAAACAGGACUGAAACUUAUCCCAGAGCUUCCCCAGUGGCUCAGCGGUAAAGAACCCACCUGCAAUACAGGAGACACAGGAGACCCGGGUUCAAUCCCUGGGUCAGGAAGAUCCCCUGGAGGAGGACAUGGUAACCCACUCCAGUAUGCUUGCCUGGAGAAUCCCAUGGACAGAGGAGGCUGGCGGGCUACCGUCCACAGGAUCACAAAGAGUCGGAUGAAACUGAGCUGCACACAUGUAUACAGUUGUUUUGCUUUCCUUUUUAUCUGCAAUUAUUUCCCUGUUAUCUUGUUUUAAAUAUUUACAUUUGUG
ensembl:lncRNA